rnacentral:rRNA from 1 species
UGGGGAAUAUUGGACAAUGGGCGCAAGCCUGAUCCAGCCAUACCGCGUGGGUGAAGAAGGCCUUCGGGUUGUAAAGCCCUUUUGUUGGGAAAGAAAAGCAUUCGGUUAAUACCCGAUUGUUCUGACGGUACCCAAAGAAUAAGCACCGGCUAACUUCGUGCCAGCAGCCGCGGUAAUACGAAGGGUGCAAGCGUUACUCGGAAUUACUGGGCGUAAAGCGUGCGUAGGUGGUUGUUUAAGUCUGUCGUGAAAGCCCUGGGCUCAACCUGGGAAUUGCGAUGGAAACUGGGCGACUAGAGUGUGGCAGAGGGUAGUGGAAUUCCUGGUGUAGCAGUGAAAUGCGUAGAGAUCAGGAGGAACAUCCGUGGCGAAGGCGACUGCCUGGGCCAACACUGACACUGAGGCACGAAAGCGUGGGGAGCAAACAGGAUUAGAUACCCUGGUAGUCCACGCCCUAAACGAUGCGAACUGGAUGUUGGGUGCAAUUUGGCACGCAGUAUCGAAGCUAACGCGUUAAGUUCGCCGCCUGGGGAGUACGGUCGCAAGACUGAAACUUAAAUGAAUUGACGGGGUCAUAGCUGUUUCCU